rnacentral:rRNA from 1 species
GACGAACGCUGGCGGCGUGCCUAAUACAUGCAAGUAGAACGCUGAAGGAGGAGCUUGCUUCUCUGGAUGAGUUGCGAACGGGUGAGUAACGCGUAGGUAACCUGCCUGGUAGCGGGGGAUAACUAUUGGAAACGAUAGCUAAUACCGCAUAAUAGUAGAUGUUGCAUGACAUUUACUUAAAAGGUGCAAUUGCAUCACUACCAGAUGGACCUGCGUUGUAUUAGCUAGUUGGUGGGGUAACGGCUCACCAAGGCGACGAUACAUAGCCGACCUGAGAGGGGGAUCGGCCACACUGGGACUGAGACACGGCCCAGACUCCUACGGGAGGCAGCAGUAGGGAAUCUUCGGCAAUGGACGAAAGUCUGACCGAGCAACGCCGCGUGAGUGAAGAAGGUUUUCGGAUCGUAAAGCUCUGUUGUAAGAGAAGAACGAGUGUGAGAGUGGAAAGUUCACACUGUGACGGUAUCUUACCAGAAAGGGACGGCUAACUACGUG